rnacentral:RNase_P_RNA from 1 species
UUAGUAAAUCAGAUAGUCGCACCCGGAGCAAUCCGGUUGAGGAAAGUCCGAGCUCCAGAGAGCAGGGUGCCGGGUAACACCCGGUGGAGGCGACUCUAAGGCAAGUGCAACAGAAAGUAUACCGCCAGCAAUGGUAAGGAUGAAAGGGUGAGGUAAGAAGACCAAGAACGGAUCUUGAAAGACGGCUGCUCGUCGUUGUCCUAUGGUAGGUCGCUAGAAUUUAUUGGUAACAAUAAAUCGAGAUAGAUGACUAUUUAAACAGAACUCGGCUUAUAGAUUUAGUAAAUCA